GUCAGGAUGGCCGAGUGGUCAAAGGCGCCAGACUCAAGUUCUGGUCUCCAAUUGGAGGCGUGGGUUCAAAUCCCACUUCUGACA